ensembl:lncRNA
AUGACACCAAGCUGUGAAUGCUGUUCAGAGGAACUACACUGUGCUGGAAGAAUACUGCAAGAGAGAAUCCAGCGAUAACAGAUCCAGUGGCAAAUUACUGCUACAAAAAGAUGAGUGAUUCAAAGUUCAAGGUUACUGUCACUGCUAUGGGAGAUGUUUUGGGCGAGCUGGCACAACUCUGCCUCACUUUACAAAGAUGCAAUCUGACUGUGAUGGAAGGGCACUGCUUUGCAAAAGCAAAGAUUGAGAAGUUGCGUUCCCAAUACUUGAAUGAUGACAAGUAUGUUCAGUGGAGUGACCGUGGCAAAGAGGUAAUGAUGACCUCAUCACCUGAUGGCAGAAAUACUGGUGAGACUACUUCUUUUUAUUCGUAAGCUCUGUGAUCACUUGGAUGCUUGUUUUCCAGAGGAUGAAUUGAAGGAGUGGUCUGCAUUGGACAUCGAAGCAUUGAGCUCAGACAUCAGUUUUGAGUAUGGAUCAGCAGACAUUGCUACAAUGGCAAAAAAGUAUGGACCCAUUUUCCACCACCCACAUUCAAUGGAGGCCAUUAACAGUGAAUAUGCAGAAUUCAAGCACAUAAUGAAACAAAAACUUAAACAACAGUCAAUCAGUAUAUUCUCAGAUAUGUUGGCUGCAACACUUAGAUGUAAGGAGCUAAAGGAGAUCUUACAGCUUGUGGAUAUUUGUGCUACAGUGCAGAUUGUGAAAGAGGCUUUAGUUCAAUGAAUCAUAUCAAAGCAGCAUCCAGAAAUCAUCUUGAAGUGGCACAUUUGAACCAGCUGAUGUGCAAAAAGUCAAAACCAGAAACAGAUCAGGCCAUCAACCUGGACAAAGUGUGCAACCAUUGGAGAAGCAAGAAGGACAGAUGGGACAAAUAAGGACCCCCACCCAGACCAGAGCAGGACCCUCACCCGGACCAGAGCAGGACCCUCACCCGGACCAGAGCAGGACCCUCACCCGGACCAGAGCAGGACCCUCACCCAGACCAGAGCAGGACCCUCACCCAGAACAGAGCAGGACCCUCACCCAGAACAGAGCAGGACCCUCACCCAGACCAGAGCAGGACCCCCACCCAGACCAGAGCAGGACCCUCACCCGGACCAGAGCAGGACCCCCACCCAGACCAGAGCAGGACCCCCACCCGGGGGUCACAGAUGCUGAGAGGAAAACAGGACAAAGGAUUUCUAUUUGAAACCUUUUCAAAGUUCAUUUUAAUCUGCAAACUAAAAUCAACCAUCAGGGACACAACAUAUAACUGACAGAUGUAAUUAUAAAGGAGUCAUAAGAAUAAGUUAGAGGCAGUUUUCUUACUUUGUCUCUGAGGGUUUAGGUUCUUUACUGAAGUCUGGAGGAUGAUCGUUGGAUCGGUCGCUCUUCAUAGACAGACAGCUGGAGGCUGGAAACUCCUCCUCACUCAUCUUGAGGACUUCAGUCUGAGAGGAAAACCAGCAACACUGACUAUGAGCUCAGGAAAUAAUAACAGUCAAAAUAACACACAAGUUCAUAUUUGUCUUCAUUCAGGUUUUUUGUGUCCACAGACAGUGAACUCUGAAAAAAGUCCUCAGAGAGAAAAGUGACUCAGUGACUGAGACUCUCACCUGCCUCCAUAAUCAGGUUUCUUCCUCUGACUGAGUCUGAACUAACAGACAGCUGCAGUGUUUCCUCCCUGUUCUCAUGUUACUGGAUCAUCUGAUCAGUGUUGCUCCUCCUCUCCAUUUACAGCUCAGUGCUGAGCUCUGAGAUCAGUUUGUUUGUUUGUCUGCAGUAUUCCACCAAAACUACCAGCUCACAUUUCAUGACAUGUGGAGGAGAGGUGGAGUGAGGCCAAAGGAAGAACCAACAAAAUACAUGGAAUAUGAUGAUUUCUGCAUAUUGUUCAGCUCUGGUGUUCAUUCAAAUGUACAUGAUGCACCUGAACGUCUCUUUGGCUUGAACAAACAAAGGUUCUGGUCCAGAUGUUAACACCUUGUUUCAUUGUUAAGUUUAAAUUGACUAAAUAAAUCAAUUUAAAACGCAUCCUCUGCAAAGGCAAUGUUCUGUUUCAUAGUUUUAAAAAGUAAAGUUUAAUAGUUCUUCCUGUGCUGAUGCUCCACCUCAUUCAUAGAGAUGAACACAGCUGCUGCUGGAGACAAAAUGUCCUUGUGGCUCCAAACUUGAUGAUUUCUGCUGCAGGACACUGAUCACUGUAGUCUACAGUAACACAGGUCCUCUGCUGACCAACACUAAGCGAAGAUAAAAACGGAGAAAAGCUGCAGAUGAUCUGCUGAAUAUAUGGUAGGAAAGUAUGUAUUCAAAACUUUACAGCUGAAUCAGAAAGUGGAUCAAUAAUCUGUCGCAUGGAUCGAAAUCAAUAUUCACACAGUGACAGACAACCAUGUUGGAAGAUCUUUGGAGAAAACCUGAAUCCUGAUCAAACCAAAUCCUGGAACCAAACAACAGCUGACCAGAGUCAUGAUGAAGAGAAAAC